rnacentral:rRNA from 1 species
UACGGAGGAUGCGAGCGUUAUCCGGAUUUAUUGGGUUUAAAGGGUGCGUAGGCGGCGAGUUAAGUCAGCGGUAAAAGCCCGGGGCUCAACCCCGGCCCGCCGUUGAAACUGGCUUGCUUGAGUUGGAGAGAAGUAGGCGGAAUGCGCGGUGUAGCGGUGAAAUGCUUAGAUAUCGCGCAGAACUCCGAUUGCGAAGGCAGCCUACCGGCUCCACACUGACGCUGAGGCACGAAAGCGUGGGUAUCGAA